UUAUUGUCCGCUUGUGCUUGAUCAUUGAAUCAUUAAAAUCAUGGAAUUGCGGAGCCCGACAGACUUGCCAUCAAUCGAAUCCCCAGGAAUAGACCAACAAGUCAGUGAAUAAACUAUUGCGAGAGAAUAAUAAUCUUGUCAUUAGAAAAAAAAACGUGUGGUAUAGUUUGGAAGAAGAACAGCUGUCCAUCCCCUGAAUAUUCCAAGGAAUCAUCGACCCUCACCGUGACACGGAGAUUCUAUUAUUCACUGGGAAAAAACUGUUUCAUGGCAUUAUCACUCGACAAAUCGUCCAUCAUUUACGUAAAAAGCCUCCAGAGCUGGAUAAAUAACAAUUCAAUGCUCUAUUUAAUUUAUGAACGUGUAGAAUACAAUUGAAAUAAUUUCCGAAUUAAAUAACCAGUGGAAAUAAAUUUAAUCCACGUCCAGCACUGGAGUCCUCUUCUCCCCCAAAAAAAUACCAGACGUUAUUCCCCUGCUUGUUAGCAACUGUCUGAUUUAAUCCGCUAUAGACUACUUGUUGUUCUUAAAAAGUCUCAAGAAUGUGCCACUUUGCAGCGAAACUUGUCAGCUUUUUUUCUUUUCCUCAAAACAACUGAAUAGUUGAAAAUUAAAUUGACGUUUACUAACAAAUAAAGCCCGAGAACAAGCGUUAAACUCCAAAACUACUAUUUUCUUUCUUUCAAGGACUCAUCAAUCGAUAUUCUCACGUGACUGGUAAUAUCAGGUGCGAUUAACCGGAUUAGAAUCACUGGGGGGUUUCGAUUUUAAUAACAGUAUUUUCGGUUAUAGUCGAACUAGAAUCGAUGAGUUAUUGCUGUGGUGCAAAAUAUUUUAACAAUCUUACGUUUGUGACUAUGAAUCAACAAUUUUCUAUCGAUUAUACAACAGUUAGGUGGAGUUUGCCGUUUUCACGGGCUUAAUGCCCAGUUAUUUUCAGUGCUAUAAGUCAGAGGCUUCCGUAAAGUGAGUCAAUGACAAAUGCAUUUUGCACGAGUAUUGUUCAUAGUUCGGGAUAAACGAUUCACUGGGGACACAUUUGUAAAAUAGCUGAUGAUGUCUUAUUUUUUUUUUUAACUGCGAGAGAAUGAGAAUAGCUAUUGGUGUUGAUAUUAGCGUUUGUAAAAUGAGAGCAAUCGAUACGAUUCUCCGAAGUUGAGGAUAUUUCGUUGGAACUUAAUCAUGCCGAUCUACCGAUAGCUGACCAUUGUCCUGUAGAUGUCGAGUAAAAAGCCUGUGCUAUUGCAAUAAUUAGACAAUGGCGCCUGAUAAUCGCAAUGUACAAACUUGAGAUUGGAUAAACGGUGAAUGUGAUGGUGGCAGGAGAGCAUUCCGGUGUCACACGAAAACAACUUAAAUAAAUGAUCAACAUUCCACAAUACUGAGGGGAUUAUUUGAGUUAGAUGAUUACGUUAAUUGCAUGAGACGUUUGCAAGAUAUUACUGAUGAUAGACGAGGGCAGGGGAGUCUUUGUAAAACACCACUCAAUAAACGAUUCUUUUUUCAUUGAUAAAGA